CCUACGGGUGGCAGCAGUGGGGAAUAUUGCACAAUGGGGGAAACCCUGAUGCAGCGACGCCGCGUGAGUGAAGAAGUAUUUCGGUAUGUAAAGCUCUAUCAGCAGGAACGAGACAAGACGGUACCUGACUAAGAAGCCCCGGCUAACUACGUGCCAGCAGCCGCGGUAAUACGUAGGGGGCAAGCGUUAUCCGGAAUCACUGGGUGUGAAGGGAGCGUAAACGGCUGAGAAAGCCUGAAGUGAAAGGGGGGGGCCCAACCCCCGAACUGCUUUGGGAAAUGGCCGGCUUGAGUGCAGGAGAGGUAAGUGGAAUUCCUAGUGGAGCGGUGAAAUGCGUAGAUAUUAGGAGGAACACCAGUGGCGAAGGCGGCUUACUGGACUGUAACUGACGUUGAGGCUCGAAAGCGUGGGGAGCAAACAGGAGUAGAGACCCUUGUAGUC
rnacentral:rRNA from 1 species